rnacentral:rRNA from 1 species
GACGAACGCUGGCGGCGUGCUUAACACAUGCAAGUCGUACGGUAAGGCCCUUUCGGGGGUACACGAGUGGCGAACGGGUGCGUAACACGUGAGUAACCUGCCCACAACUUUGGGAUAACGCUAGGAAACUGGUGCUAAUACUGGAUAUGUGCUCCUGCUGCAUGGUGGGGGUUGGAAAGCUCCGGCGGUUGUGGAUGGACUCGCGGCCUAUCAGCUUGUUGGUGGGGUAGUGGCCUACCAAGGCGGCGACGGGUAGCCGGCCUGAGAGGGUGACCGGCCACAUUGGGACUGAGAUAAGGCCCAGACUCCUACGGGAGGCAGCAGUGGGGAAUAUUGCACAAUGGGCGCAAGCCUGAUGCAGCAACGCCGCGUGCGGGAUGACGGCCUUCGGGUUGUAAACCGCUUUCAGCAGGGACGAAGCUUUUUGUGACGGUACCUGCAGAAGAAGCACCGGCUAACUACGUG